AGAGAGAUGGCUCAGCAGUUAAGAGCACUGACUGAUGUUCCAGGGCACCUGGGUUCAAUUCCCAGGCCUUCCA
rnacentral:tRNA from 1 species